GUCUACGGCCCUGCCACCCUGAACACGCCCGAUCUCAUCUAAUCUCGGAAGCUAAGCAGGGUCGGGACUGGUUAGUACUUGGAUGGGAGACCGCCUGGGCAUACCGAGUGCUGUAGACU
rnacentral:rRNA from 1 species